rnacentral:rRNA from 1 species
GAGCAGUAGGGAAUUUUGCGCAACUGAGGCAACUCUGACGUAGAACAGCCGCGUGAAGGAAGACGGCCUUAUGGGUUGUAAACUGCUUUUACAAGGGAAUAAACCCCCGUUCGUGAACGGUUUCUCUUCAAUGAUCCAUGUAAGAAUAAGCACCGGCUAACUACGUG